CAGCUGGUUUCUCUUCAAAUCGAACAAAUCUUUCGCCUUUUACUAAAGAUUUCCGUGGAAAGAAACAAAUCAGUUUUAAGCUAAUUUUUUGAAACCUUGCUUUGGCGAGGUG
ensembl:snRNA U5 U5 spliceosomal RNA